UUCGCAACUCGCUCACCUCCUGCUCUGUAGCCUCGCUAGUCUGAUUAGCUACUGACAGCGCUCAAACGACGCGAUCCCGCGCCACUCGCAACUCGCUGCGCCGCCGAGCACACCGCCGAAGACGUCCCAACUUCGAUGGCUCUCGCUCGUCCCGCAGACCAGGCGCAGGGCUAGCAAGCUGCUGGAUACCACGACCAGCGCAACCUCAACCUCCUCGACUCGCAUAGCUGCCGCGUCGGGUCUGGCAGCGACUCUCCCAGGUUCGAGAGCCACGUCACCCCAGUUUCGCCCUGCCACGACCUUUUCGCCCUUCCCUCGUUCGUUCGCCCUGUUCGACCUACUUGAAGGACUCGCGCUCAGCUAGAUCAGCAACAGACGAAGACAAGGCUCUGAAUACUUUCUGGGUCAUCAAGCUCAUCUCGUCUCGCCAAUUCCGCACUGUCUCUACUCUCAUCACCAAGUCGAACGUUCAACAUCACCGCCGUCGCAUGAACGGCGAUGCUCUCGCUUCUCUUGUCGACCCGUGGCCUUCUUUCGACGCUGUACCCCCCUCUUGAUGAUACGCCGAUCCCAUACGCUUCCGCCACUCCCCGACUUCCGCCAACUGUUUGAGUCGGCAGCGAAAACGCCCAACAGUACCUCCGACCCGCCAGUUUCCCGCGACUCGCGCCGGUUCCAUCUCUUGCGACCCUCCACUCGCCACGUUUUUCGUCCCUCACCAACUCGAAGUCAUUGCCGUACAACCUGCAGGACGGAACAUUCUGAUACGGAAAUCUCGAAUGAACGUCACCUUAUUGGGUACAUCGGUCGUCGUCGUCGACUUCGCCUGAGAGACGGCAAAUGCGGCUGAAUGAGGCGAUCUUCUCGCCUCCUCGACCUACUUGUGCGGCUUAGCUGGCUGCGAGCGGACCAAUGCCGUGCGCGAGUAUUGUACUCGUCUACGCUGCAGCAUCGGUCGUCUUUCCUGGCGCAGCGACGAGCGGGUGGUCGGCGGAGGAAUAGUUUGGAAGGAGGUGGUGUAACGGGCCGGUCGAAGUACGGAAAGUCACCUUCGUAGCGGUCGUCUGCCACGAUACUCGGCAGUACUUGACGUCCUCAAGCGCAUUGCGGCGACGGCGCGGACCUCGUCGACGUUCUGGCUGCGAGAUGGCGAGGGAGGGCAUCGUCGCAAACUGAUAGUCCUCACUGGCUGUUGCGACAUCGCGAGGCUUUGUACCAUCGUCUUACAGCGCCAUUUGACGCUCUACAGCUCCUUGUACGUUCAGCCUGUCAUCCGCUCGCUUGACGACCGCA
rnacentral:misc_RNA from 1 species